GACGAACGCUGGCGGCGUGCUUAACACAUGCAAGUCGAACGGGAAGGCCCUGCUUUUGUGGGGUGCUCGAGUGGCGAACGGGUGAGUAACACGUGAGUAACCUGCCCUUGACUUUGGGAUAACUUCAGGAAACUGGGGCUAAUACCGGAUAGGAGCUCCUGCUGCAUGGUGGGGGUUGGAAAGUGUCGGCGGUUGGGGAUGGACUCGCGGCUUAUCAGCUUGUUGGUGGGGUAGUGGCUUACCAAGGCUUUGACGGGUAGCCGGCCUGAGAGGGUGACCGGCCACAUUGGGACUGCGAUACGGCCCAGACUCCUACGGGAGGCAGCAGUGGGGAAUAUUGCACAAUGGGCGGAAGCCUGAUGCAGCAACGCCGCGUGCGGGAUGACGGCCUUCGGGUUGUAAACCGCUUUCGCCUGUGACGAAGCGUGAGUGACGGUAAUGGGUAAAGAAGCACCGGCUAACUACGUG
rnacentral:rRNA from 1 species